UCAUAUGCUUGUCUCAAAGAUUAAGCCAUGCAUGUCUAAGUACAUACCGCAUUAAGGUGAAAACCGCGAAAGGCUCAUUAAAUCAGUUAUGGUUCCUUAGAUCGUACCAAUCCUACUUGGAUAACUGUGGUAAUUCUAGAGCUAAUACAUGCCGAUAAUGCUCCGACCACUCGCCCGGGACGAGCGCUUUUAUUAGAACAAGACCAAUACGGGCCACUCGAAACCAGCGGGUCAAACCGUUGGCGUAGAACCCGUCAAAAAACUUGGUGACUCUGGAUAACUUUGAGCUGAUCGCACGGUCCUCGCACCGGCGACGCAUCUUUCAAAUGUCUGACUUAUCAACUGUCGAUGGUAGGUUAUGUGCCUACCAUGGUUAUAACGGGUAACGGAGAAUCAGGGUUCGAUUCCGGAGAGGGAGCCUGAGAAACGGCUACCACAUCCAAGGAAGGCAGCAGGCACGCAAAUUACCCACUCCCGGCACGGGGAGGUAGUGACGAAAAAUAACAAUACGAGACUCUUCCGAGGCCUCGUAAUUGGAAUGAGCACAUUUUAAAACCUUUAGCGAGGAUCUAUUGGAGGGCAAGUCUGGUGCCAGCAGCCGCGGUAAUUCCAGCUCCAAUAGCGUAUAUUAAAGUUGUUGCGGUUAAAAAGCUCGUAGUUGGAUUUCGGUGCCGUAUGUUUCGGUCCGACCUUCGCUUGUCGGUACACUGAACAUUCACGGAGCCAUUAACCCCGCCGGCCUUUGUCCCUCGAUGCUCUUCACCGGGUGUCGUGCGGAGACCGGAACGUUUACUUUGAACAAAUUAGAGUGCUCAAGGCAGGCGCAGUCCCCGCCCGCAUAGCCCAGCAUGGAAUAAUGGAAUAAGACCCCGGUUCUAUUUUGUUGGUUUUCGGAACACGAGGUAAUGAUUAAUAGGGACUGACGGGGGCAUUCGUAUUGCGGCGCUAGAGGUGAAAUUCUUGGACCGUCGCAAGACGAACUACUGCGAAAGCAUUUGCCAAGAAUGUUUUCAUUGAUCAAGAACGAAAGUUAGAGGUUCGAAGGCGAUCAGAUACCGCCCUAGUUCUAACCAUAAACGAUGCCAACCAGCGAUCCGCCGGAGUUCCUCCGAUGACUCGGCGGGCAGCUUCCCGGGAAACCACAAGUUUUUGGGUUCCGGGGGAAGUAUGGUUGCAAAGCUGAAACUUAAAGGAAUUGACGGAAGGGCACCACCAGGAGUGGAGCCUGCGGCUUAAUUUGACUCAACACGGGAAAUCUCACCCGGCCCGGACACUGGAAGGAUUGACAGAUUGAGAGCUCUUUCUUGAUUCGGUGGAUGGUGGUGCAUGGCCGUUCUUAGUUGGUGGACCGUUGAUCUGUCUGGUUGAUUCCGAUAACGAACGAGACUCUAGCCUGCUAAAUAGCUGGCCCAUACCAUCGGUGCGCCGUUACCGUGCCUUCGCGAACCGCGGUUAGGUGCCGUGGCGUUUUUCACUCCCGAACCAAUGCUUGUUUCUUUUAUGUCGUAGCCUUAUGUGGUUGGCCCCCGUUGGCUGUACGUUCAUCUUUACUGGUCGUUGCGGUUGCUUUUUCCCCUUCUGAUCAUUUCAUUUUGCUUUUUCUACCGAAGAGCGGGGGUUUAUUUUCUUCGUGGCGGGCGUUUCGGCGUCUUGNUGCGGGGAGGUGAAUCCUUUGCUUUAGGUGUUGGGCAUUGUGUGUGGUCUUGAGGUGUUGGGUGAUCGUGCGAUUAUAAGGAAGUGGACUNCGGUUUUUCGGGUAAGUUUUUCCGCCGGGUGAAAGCGUUUGAGGGACCUUGGUGUAGGGUUUGUUGGCGUUGCGUGCUACCCCGUGGGGAUGUUGGUGCGAGGCGGCCUCCGGAGUGGGUCAAACGCUUCUUAGAGGGACAAGCGGCGUAUAGCCGCGCGAGAUUGAGCAAUAACAGGUCUGUGAUGCCCUUAGAUGUCCGGGGCCGCACGCGCGCUACAAUGAAACGGUGAGCAGGUCCCCUGCCCUAGUCCGAGAGGACCGGGUAACCCUGUGAAUUCCUUUCAUGGUUGGGAUCGGGGCUUGAAACCAACCCCGUGAACUAGGAAUUCCCAGUAGGCGCGAGUCAUCAACUCGCGCCGAUUACGUCCCUGCCCUUUGUACACACCGCCCGUCGCUACUACCGAUUGGAUGUUGUAGCAAGGUCUUUGGACUGGCAAUCGUGACGGCGUUCGCGUCGUUGUGGUAUGCCGGAAAGAUGACCAAACUAUAUCAUCUAGAGGAAGUAAAAGUCGUAACAAGGUUUCC
rnacentral:rRNA from 1 species